rnacentral:lncRNA from 1 species
AAUGCAAAUUAGUCCGCAAGAGCACAUUUGGCACUUGCCUUUUUGCUCGAUAACUCCUUAGUUUCUUUGCUUAGCAAGAAACUUGUUUGUGUCGCUUUGUCCACAACCGAGGCCGAAUAUUCUGCCACGGGAAGUUGUUGAAUCCUUUAGAUGAAAUAACAACUUUUGGAUUAUGGUCUUAGUCUUGAUCACGUCCCUCUUCGAUGUGAUAACUCUUAGUGCCAUAAGCUUGACGAAGAUUUCAAUUCUUCAUUUAAGUACAAAGCUAAUUAUGAGAUGUGAUAAUUCUUAGUGCCAUAAGCUUGACGAAGAUUCCAGUUCUUUAUUCAAGUACAAAGCUAAUUAUGCACCAUUGUAUGAAAGAUCACGUUCUCAAAGGUGAUGUCAAAAUAAAAAUUUGAUGACAUCUUUUCAAGCCUUUAGAUUAAGAGUUGUACUUCCGUAUUCUUUGUGAACUCGGAGUUCUUGACUCUACGUUGAUCAAUUGCAUGCACUUAGGAUGUAUUUAUUAAAUACUGACUUAAUUGUGUUUUUGCAGAGAUAUCCUCAAAGACAAGAGGAAUCUAAUGUUGGUGCUACAAAAUGGUUUAAUUGCCACAAAAUUAUUUUGUGUCUAAUAUUUUUGAUGUGCAGGCGUUGUUGCAUAAUUGAUUGUCAUUUUUAUUGAUUGAUACCACAAGAUUGUUUUGUGUCUAAUGUUUUUGAUGUGCAGGAGUUGUUGCAUAAUUGAUUGUCAUCUUUAUUGAUUGAUUUCUAUGAAUUUCUGCCCAAGUAUUCUUUUUAAUAUUGUAUUAAUGUUCUUGUAAAAAGGGGAAAGCUACGCAACUUGUCAAUAGGGGGAAUUAUAUUCUUCUCUAACCACCUUUCAUUUAUGUCAAAAGGGGGAAGUUGUGAAACUUAUGAUCCUAACCUUCUUCUAACCUUUUUGCUAAUGUCAAAAGGGGGAAGAGAAAGGGCGGUAUAUGCAUAUCUAUCUUGUUCAUGCAUUAGAAGAUAUAGGGGAUAUUUUCUAUGCUUUGGGAAGAUUAGGAUAUAUGCAUAUUUACAUGUCUACAUGCAUUCUUUAAAGGGGAA